UACGUAGGGGGCAAGCGUUGUCCGGAAUCAUUGGGCGUAAAGGGCGCGUAGGCGGCCAGCACAAGUCAGUUGUGAAAUCUCCGAGCUUAACUCGGAAAGGUCAACUGAUACUGCGCGGCUAGAGUGCAGAAGGGGCAACUGGAAUUCUCGGUGUAGCGGUGAAAUGCGUAGAGAUCAGGAAGAACACCGGUGGCGAAGGCGGGUCUCUGGGCCGUAACUGACGCUGGAGGAGCGAAAGCAUGGGGAGCGAACAGG
rnacentral:rRNA from 1 species